GUGACGAGGCGACUCUGGCGCCCUCCGCCUCUUUAUUGUGGAGCGGCUCAUUUGCUCUCCUCUUCCUCUUUGGCACCUCUUCAAAACGAAGCCAACUGGCGGCCAAAAAGGCAGAGCAAGGAGAGGAGCAGACAGACGGCAGCGUCGGCGGAGACUCCACCAACUUGUUUAUCCUUUUAUAGCCCCGGCUCCGAGGCAAAAGCACGGAGAGCAGAAAGGCCCGCCUCGUUUCAUUGCUAGAACCGCGGUGGGGAGGGAAGAAGGUUGCGAGAGAGCUGCCGUUGCUUUCAGAGCUGUUUUAGCUGAAAAAGGAUGAAUUAAAUAAUUCCAUGCCUGAAUAAAGGAGAAAAGGCCCCGGUUUCCUAUGGUAUACCCCUGUGUCUGUUGAAGAUGUAGUGAAGCAACAACACCAAUGAGGCUUGCGGGAGAAUAUUUUAUACCACAAGUCCUCGAAGAGCCUUUUCCACCAAGAGUUCCGGGAGCCAGGAGACACUGCUCCCAUCUUGCUGAAGAACCCUACAAGAUUCAAGUAGAGUGGCAUCGCCUAUCUCGAUAAUCUGCAAAGCGAUCUUAACCAUAUCUACUCUAAAGUUCUACUGAAUUCAGUGGUGCUUACUCCCAGAUAAGAAUAAAAUACUACCUCUGAAGUCCUGCACCUCUAACCUGCCCUGGCAGUUUUUACUAACCAAGAAGGGCAAAGAUCUAGAGAACAGGCUUAUCAAACAGAAUGGCCUGCAAAAUGGUGGACUUCAUUCGUUUGAUUUACUCUCAUUGAUUCUUGUAUGUGGCAACUUCUGACACCAUAUUGUGCAUUUAAAAACUUCCUGAACCCUGUCUUUGUGAGUGAGUUAUGCUGCUGUAUCUCCAGCUGAGCUGGAAUGUGCAGCUUAUGGCAGUAUGGCAUGGAUGCACUGAGAAUUGGCUAGAGAUCCAGUGGAUCAUAACUCUUGUGUUUGCUCCCAUAGUUGAGACAUGACCUUCAGGAGAUCUGCUAUUGACUGAUGGAAUAGAAUUAUGGAAUCAUAGAGUUGGAAGGGACCCCAAGGGUCAUCUAGUUCAACCUGCAUCAAUGCAGGAAUAAUACUAGGUGUGUCAGGAGUUCCCAGUAUAAUAAUACUAGGGUACUAGGAGUUCCUUUGCUUACCAUAGUUGAUGAAGGUUUGAAGACUCUGGCUGUGUUGGCACAAAACAAGUGUUUGUAGUGAGUUUGUGGCAGACCAAAGCAGGUGGCUAAGCCCUUCAGAGUCAACUUGGCCCCUUUUUUAUAUUUUCUAUCAUAUAUAGAUAGAUGUAUAGAUAGAUACAUAUUCUUUUUUCGUUGUUAUCACUUCACAUGCCCAUUUCUAUUAUAUGCAAGCUAGCCUUGACUGCCUUGAGAGUUCAAAGUGUAUUGUCAAGAAGUGAGUGUUGAUCGUUCCCCAUUUAUUUUAGAAUAGGGUUCUCUGUCAUUAGUUGUGACUCUAGGCUGCCCUAGCGAUCCACAGUUGCUUCCUCCCCUAACAUAUAUUCUUUCCUCACAAAAGAGGAAAAACAGGUAGUUAAUAUGCAGGGAAACUAAGGGAACAUAUGCCCAGAUGUUAUGUAUGAAUGAAGGAGGGAAGCUGUAACACAUUAGACACAAAUUAACUUAUUGACGUAUAACCUUUGAUAGGGCACAAUGUUCUUUAAUCAGGAAGUGAUGUGACUGAGAAGAUAGCGAAGACAAUGGGUGUCACACCAAGUUAAACAGAAGUAAUGAUAACGGGAAUGAAACACAUACUUUGUUCAGGCUAAGCAUAUCACUCUGGUAAAUCAUUGUUGUGUAUCAUAGAGCCUGGAGACAAAGAUGUGGGUGUGAGCAUGGUCAUGCCUUCUCCCUUUCUGAAAACCAUUUGCCCUGAUUUUAAAAGCUGCAAAGUGUUGUCCUUCCUUUUUCAAAAAAGUAUUUCUAGUUGGUGCUGUUCUGAGGUCUGCAGUGGACAGGGCAUCACGCCCAACACAAAAAUGAUUCUCUGUGUGUUUUUCUAACCAAUGGAGAAUCAACCACAUUGGUACUUUUCUGAGGAAGUAGUAAUUAUUUCAUAGCAGCUGCAGAGCAGCCAUCUAAACAAAGUUUUUUAAUACCAAGAAAACUUUCUAAUGCUAAGAAAGUGACAACUAGACUAACUGAAUAUGGUAUAUCACAAAUUUAUAACUACCCUGCAGCUGGUUACAAAAUGAAUCACUAUUUUCAAUAUUGUUAAUGUCGGCUUAUGUUAAGGUGGACUUUACAAAACAUCUUAUUGUGGGUUGACUGCUGUGUUACAAUGAUUUCUGCAUUACAAUGCGUUUCUCAUUAUUUACUGAAAUCAAGGAAAACGGGCUUUUAAAAAUAUCUUAUUAUGUUUCUAUUUAUUUUUUUU